rnacentral:rRNA from 1 species
AACGAACGCUGGCGGCAGGCCUAACACAUGCAAGUCGAGCGAAGCCUUCGGGCUUAGCGGCGGACGGGUGAGUAACGCGUGGGAACGUGCCCUCUGGUACGGAAUAGCCCCGGGAAACUGGGAGUAAUACCGUAUGUGGUCGAGAGACGAAAGAUUUAUCGCCAAAGGAUCGGCCCGCGUUGGAUUAGGUAGUUGGUGGGGUAAUGGCCUACCAAGCCGACGAUCCAUAGCUGGUUUGAGAGGAUGAUCAGCCACACUGGGACUGAGACACGGCCCAGACUCCUACGGGAGGCAGCAGUGGGGAAUCUUAGACAAUGGGGGAAACCCUGAUCUAGCCAUGCCGCGUGAUCGAUGAAGGCCUUAGGGUUGUAGAGGUCUUUCAGUGGGGAAGAUAAUGACUGUACCCACAGAAGAAGCCCCGGCUAACUCCGUGCCAGCCGCCGCCGUAA